CUAAGGGAUAUUUCCGGCAAUGGAGGAAACUCUGACGGAGCGACGCCGCGUGGAUGAUGAAGGUCGGAAGAUUGUAAAAUCCUUUUAAGUAUGAUGAAUAACCUGAUCAGGAAAUGGGACAGGGAUGACCGUAAUACUUGAAUAAGCAACGGCUAAUUACGUGCCAGCAGCCGCGGUAACACGUAAGUUGCGAGCGUUGUUCGGAAUUAUUGGGCGUAAAGGGCAUGUAGGCGGUAUUGCAAGCCUGGUGUGAAAGGCAGGGGCUCAACCUCUGGACUGCGCUGGGAACUGCGAUACUAGAGUCGCUGAGGGGCAAUCAGAAUUCCAGGUGUAGGGGUGAAAUCUGUAGAUAUCUGGA
rnacentral:rRNA from 1 species